GUUAUCCUGGACUUUAUUGUGGCUAUAUUUGGGUUGGAGGUGUCCCAGAGUGACUUGGAUGUCAGAGCAAAUGGGGUUGAUAAAUCACUUGAUGGUGUCCUUCACCAGUGCCAUUUCCUCCAGCUUGGCAGAGAAGCCCUCUCAGUGCUGUAUCGGGGGGAUUGUGCUGCUCAAAAUGUCAUCUCUCAGGUAUUUCUGUAACAAAGAAGACUCAUACAUGUAAGUAAUAUCUUUUGAUUUGGCCUUCUCUCAC
rnacentral:lncRNA from 1 species